GGGAGACACUUCCCAUGAAGUCAGAAAGUUAUCCCAGCAUCAUCAAAUGGGAAAAUAUGGAUGGAGCAUAUAGAAGAUGAUACACAAUAUCAUUCCAAUAUUUUAAAGCAAGUGAAAUAUGGAUAAAAUGAACACCAAGAACAGCAAUGAAUGGAGAAUGAGUUCAUGACAUGUAACAGAGCACCCUUCCACCACCACUAGCAUCUCAUAGAAUUGAAAAUCAGAACAAAGGGGUGAGAAGAGACCAACAGAACGCAGGACCUGACUCGUUUGUGAAGAAUGACAGGCUCAAACUUCUGUCAUUAUGAAGAGGAUUGUUCAUUAUUCCAAAAACUGCUAAGAACAGGAUUGCUACCCAAGCAGAAGAGAAUCUGUUUUAAGUGGUGAGACAUUUGGGUUGAUUGUGGAAGAAAAAGGUGC